CUACUACUCUCUCCGUUCGAAAUUACUUGUCGCAGAAAUGGAUGUAUUUAGACAUAUUUUAGUUCUAGAUACAUCCAUUUUCGAGACAAGUAAUUCCGAACAGAGGGAGUAGUAG
rnacentral:pre_miRNA from 1 species